ACGCUGGCGGCGUGCCUAAUACAUGCAAGUCGAACGGUCUUUCUAUGGAAGCUUGCUUCCACUGAGAAGAUAGUGGCGAACGGGUGAGUAACACGUGGGUAACCUGCCCAUAAGAGGGGGAUAACAUCCAGAAACGGGUGCUAAUACCGCAUAGUUUUCUUGAUCGCAUGAUUGAGAAAGGAAAGACGGCCUUUGUGCUGUCGCUUAUGGAUGGAUCCGCGGCGUAUUAGUUAGUUGGUGAGGUAACGGCUCACCAAGACGAUGAUACGUAGCCGACCUGAGAGGGUGAUCGGCCACAUUGGGACUGAGACACGGCCCAAACUCCUACGGGAGGCAGCAGUAGGGAAUCUUCCGCAAUGGACGAAAGUCUGACGGAGCAACGCCGCGUGAGUGAAAGAAGGUUUUCGGAUCGUAAAACUCUGUUGUCAGAGAAGAACAAGUUGGAGAGUAACUGCUCCAGCCUUGACGGUAUCUGACCAGAAAGCCACGGCUAACUACGUGCCAGCCGCGGC
rnacentral:rRNA from 1 species